rnacentral:rRNA from 1 species
CGGAUGAUGCAUAGCCGAGUUGAGAGACUGAUCGGCCACAUUGGGACUGAGACACGGCCCAAACUCCUACGGGAGGGCAGCAGUAGGGAAUCUUCCACAAUGGACGCAAGUCUGAUGGAGCAACGCCGCGUGAGUGAAGAAGGGUUUCGGCUCGUAGAGCUCUGUUGUUGGUGAAGAAGGACAGGGGUAGUAACUGACCUUUGUUUGACGGUAAUCAAUUAGAAAGUCACGGGCUAACUACGUGCCAGCAGCCGCGGUAAAU